rnacentral:rRNA from 12 species
CGGUGACAAACCGGAGGAAGGUGGGGAUGACGUCAGGUCAUCAUGGCCCUUAUGGGUAGGGCUACACACGUCAUACAAUGGCCGGGACAGAGGGCUGCCAACCCGCGAGGGGGAGCUAAUCCCAGAAACCCGGUCGUAGUCCGGAUCGUAGUCUGCAACUCGACUGCGUGAAGUCGGAAUCGCUAGUAAUCGCGGAUCAGCUUGCCGCGGUGAAUACGUUCCCGGGUCUUGUACACACCGCCCGUCAC